rnacentral:rRNA from 1 species
GAUGAACGCUGGCGGCGUGCCUAAUACAUGCAAGUCGAGCGAACAGAUGAGGAGCUUGCUCCUCUGACGUUAGCGGCGGACGGGUGAGUAACACGUGGAUAACCUACCUAUAAGACUGGGAUAACUUCGGGAAACCGGAGCUAAUACCGGAUAAUAUAUUGAACCGUAUGGUUCAAUAGUGAAAGACGGUUUUGCUGUCACUUAUAGAUGGAUCCGCGCCGCAUUAGCUAGUUGGUAAGGUAACGGCUUACCAAGGCAACGAUGCGUAGCCGACCUGAGAGGGUGAUCGGCCACACUGGAACUGAGACACGGUCCAGACUCCUACGGGAGGCAGCAGUAGGGAAUCUUCCGCAAUGGGCGAAAGCCUGACGGAGCAACGCCGCGUGAGUGAUGAAGGUCUUCGGAUCGUAAAACUCUGUUAUUAGGGAAGAACAAAUGUGUAAGUAACUAUGCACGUCUUGACGGUACCUAAUCAGAAAGCCACGGCUAGCUACGUG